UGAAUACGAGACGCUAAGGCGUCGAAGUAGUGUAUGUCAUACUUCCAAGAAAAGCUUGCAAUGUCAUAGAUAAAAAACGCCUGUACCAUAACCGACACAGGUGGGUAGGUAGAGUAUACUAAGGGGCGCGAGAUAACUCUCUCUAAGGAACUCGGCAAAAUAACUCCGUAACUUCGGGAGAAGGAGUGCCUUAUUCGUAAGGUUGCAAUAACAAGAUCCAAGCAACUGUUUAUCAAAAACACAGGUCUCCGCUAAGUCGUAAGACGAUGUAUGGGGGCUGACGCCUGCCCAGUGCCAGAAGGUUAAAGAAGUUGGUUAGCAAUUGCGAAGCUGAUAACUGAAGCCCUGGUGAACGGCGGCCGUAACUAUAACGGUCCUAAGGUAGCGAAAUUCCUUGUCGGGUAAGUUCCGACCCGCACGAAAGGCGUAAUGAUUUGGAUACUGUCUCGGAGAGGGGCUCGGUGAAAUAGACUUGUCUGUGAAGAUGCGGACUACCUGCACCAGGACAGAAAGACCCUAUGAAGCUUUACUGUAACUUGGAAUUGAAAUUGGACUUUAUUCGCGCAGUAUAGGUGGGAGGCGUUGAUUAUAAUCUUGUGGGAUUAUUGGAGCCAUCAGUGAGAUACCACUCUUGUAAUGUUAAAUUUCUAACUUUGAAUCAUUAUCUGGUCAAAGAACAGUUUCAGGCGGGCAGUUUGACUGGGGCGGUCGCCUCCUAAACGGUAACGGAGGCGUACAAAGGUUUCCUCUGAACGGUUAGAAAUCGUAUCUAGAGUGUAAAGGCAUAAGGAAGCUUGACUGUGAGACCUACAAGUCGAGCAGGGACGAAAGUCGGUCUUAGUGAUCUGACGGUACUGAGUGGAAAGGCCGUCACUCAUCGGAUAAAAGUUACUCUAAGGAUAACAGGCUGAUCUCCCCCAAGAGUUCACAUCGACGGGGAGGUUUGGCACCUCGAUGUCGGCUCAUCGCAUCCUGGGGCGGUAGUACGUCCCAAGGGUUGGGCUGUUCGCCCAUGAAAGCGGUACGCGAGCUGGGUUCAGAACGUCGUGAGACAGUUCGGUCCAUAUCCGGUGUAGGCGUUAGAAUAUUGAGAGGAGCCUUCUUUAGUACGAGAGGACCGAGAAGGACAUACCUCUGGUGUACCAGUUAUCGUGCCAACGGUAAACGCUGGGUAGCUAUGUAUGGAGUGGAUAACCGCUGAAAGCAUCUAAGUGGGAAGCCCACCUCAAGAUAAGUAUUCUCAC
rnacentral:rRNA from 1 species